CAUAUCAGGCAAGUUUCAAGCAUGUCCAUCUUCACUCUCACAUCCCACUUAGCUGUUUCAACAGCCAUCAGAUCAUCCGUUAUGCUUCAACAUAGAAAAAAAAACCUGCAUGAUGCCCUGCUGCGCUGCACAGCUGUCACAUGCACAGACAGUCACUAUGACAGCCAUGAUUACCUGAAAACUCCAGCAAGUCUGCUGAUUAAACCCUGAUUGAUUGCAACUGCUGCAGAGAAGAGUGGGCACCAGGGCAAGAAGUCCUAAACUCUGCAAAACUCCCACCGAGCAACAUUUUAUGGAGCUUUGAAGAAUCAGCUUCCCCAGGGUAAAGAUAGGGAGAUUUAUUCAGCUGUAGUUACGGUCUGCUUCAUCCCUAUUACAAACACCUCUCCCUAAGGAGAGCAAAUAAAAGACUUGCAUCCCCUAUUCCUGUGAACUGGCAUCCUGAGAAGUCUAUUACUUUACAAAAAGCUGGCAACAUUCUAAGCAGCGAGGGUCUGGUGCGGGAGCGAGACGCUCAGUGUCCAAGGAUGAAGCUAUUAUGCUUAAACGGUAACGGCGGCGGUUUGAUCCCAGGGAUGGUUGUGUUUCACUUGUACCCGUUAACCCAUUCUGACAGGUGAGAUGGAGGCUAGCGGCUCCGCUGGGUGCGUGCAACUCGCCUCUCCAUUUCUGUGUAAAUAGGCCCUGACAGACUCUAGUAGCUGAUCCCGUUUUCAGGAAUAAGGCUGCACAGACUGAACACAUCAGAGGCAUUUAGUAUCCGACUCCGUGCUCGUCUCUUUCCUUGUUUGCACCUUCUAAAAAUAGGAGGGGUGUCUGUUGCUGAGGGAGCGCAGUUUCUGCUCGAAGCUAUUUCUUUUCAGGAACAAAACAGGGCUUCAAAUUAAAAAGCUGUUCAGGACACAUCUACAGUGAGAAGUGAAGAUAAUGUGCUGUGUCUCCUACCUACACUCUACGCCUACAUCUUUCUUCUUCCCUUCACCGAACUGUCUUUGUUGCUUCAAGACAAUGCAAUGCCAAUAAAUUAAGAGGGACUAUUCUUCUUUUAUGCCUACUUUCAGACCUAAAUUAAGGACUGGUGUUGUGGAAAUAUGAGGCAAAUAUACUGCUGUUUUAGCUUUUAAUCUGCUCGGUUUGCAAUAUUAAACUCAACCCAGAUCUAUUUCCUGAACUCUGCCUUUUCCUCUUUCCUCCUCCAUUGUCAUCUCCUCUUCUACCUCAGGUGAGGACCAAUUAUCUUCAAAAUCCAGCAAGUGGAAGAGGACUUUAUUCAGCAAACUGCUAAGGACUGCAAAACCAACCUGUGCGUGCAUUAAGAAAAGCAUAGAGGCAGGUAACCGAGAGACAGUGUGGAGCGACGAUGAAGAAAAAGGAGGAGUGAAGAAAAGACAUGUUGAGAUAGGCAGGGAGAGGGGAAGAGAGAGUUAGGGGAGGUCUUGACUUCAUUUUCACCAUUGGGGGCGAAUCCGUUUUGGAACCGUGACAUUUGGCGUAACGGGAUCCUGUCAGCAGGCAAACCAUGGGGCCUCGCGUUUGUGCACGCUAAAUGUUAGGUUGCGACCCACGGUGAUGGGCUAGGAUGUCAUGUGUGACACAGUGUGCUUACAUUCAGGCGAGCACUGUACUUACAAACCCGGCAUGCAUGCAGAAUGAGGGAUGGUGACAAGGCCCUUCCUUCCUUCCUUCCUUGCUCCCUCCCCCAGGUGGUGGCUUUCACAUUGUUGGAGAGAAGGUCAUCCAGCUGAUCAGCAGUUCCUGUGCACCCGGUGGGCAGUGAUGAGGGUACGGUUUGCUGGUGUCAGCGCUGUACCUUUGUGAUUAAAAUCUCUUUGAGAAAUUAAUCACCGCCCCCCCCUGCAGCGCACGGUGCCUGACACGUUUAUCGAGGUAAAAGUUUGGCCUGCCAUUUGAUUCAAAGCCCACUCUUUCUCGUUGUGUGUGUGUUGUGUUUGUUCACGUUUUUUUCCCUCUUUUUUUUAUGCCUCCAUGCCAAUUAUUGGGUCUCUGUCUCCCAUUGAUCUGCUGUGCCGGGCGAGGCUAUCACUUUGAGGUGACAGCUAAAUGACCAGUAGCCCGAGGCAGCGGACAUCCAGGCAAUGGUCCUUGUGUGUGUGCGUGUGUGUGCGUGUGUGUGUGUGUGUGUGUGUGUUUGUGUGUGUGUGUGUGUGUGUGUGCACUAAUCGAUACAAAAUGAUACCGCGUAGGAGCUCAUCAGCAGCGGGCAUCGCAGCUGACAGAGACGGGUUUUUGCUCCUUCCCGUCUCCCUGAGAUCCCCCAGACUUGAAACUGUUUGGGGUGGAGCACGGUGUCAUCCACGGAUCCCUGCUGAGAUCGGGGGAACCUGCCCUCCAGGGCUCAGCCUGCAAAGAGAUACAUCAUUUUCUUGAUCUGAAAAGUGCAGCACCCUCAGAUCGCUUUGGUAUUCCCAACAGGGAAUGCAGAGGGAGGUGCAAAGUUUGGCCAGGAAGUAUGUUGGAGUUCCUGAUGGUGCUUUGAAGAAGAGGAAGCAGGGAAUGAAUUGAAGACGACUAUUGAAAUAUUUAAUAUCACUGAAAGUUGUUUUAUUCAGCUAAUUAAAUUCAAUGAUAAUUCUGACCUGAACCCGAUGAAAAUCUAAAAUCUAGUUUCUCAGAAUAUGUGAAUGCUACAAGGAUUAAAAAGUAAUUUUUUUGAA